GGUAUGUUUAGUCUUUUUUAGUAGCCACUUAGUCACAAACACUGGCCAAAGUUAGCGUUCAUAUUUGUUUUUGUGUGAAAAAAGCAAAAAACUAAUAGUUGCCCAAUGUUUGUGACUAAGUGGCUACUAAGAUUGACUGGACAUAUU